rnacentral:rRNA from 1 species
CCUACGGGAGGCAGCAGUGAGGAAUAUUGGUCAAUGGACGAGAGUCUGAACCAGCCAAGUAGCGUGAAGGAUGACUGCCCUAUGGGUUGUAAACUUCUUUUAUAUGGGAAUAAAAUGUUCCACGUGUGGGAUUUUGUAUGUACCAUAUGAAUAAGGAUCGGCUAACUCCGUGCCAGCAGCCGCGGUAAUACGGAGGAUCCGAGCGUUAUCCGGAUUGAUUGGGUUUGAAGGGAGCGUAGGUGGAUUGUUAAGUCAGUUGUGAAAGUUUGCGGCUCAACCGUAAAAUUGCAGUUGAAAAUGGCAGUCUUGAGUACAGUAGAGGAGGGCGGAAUUCGUGGUGUAGCGGUGAAAUGCUUAGAUAUCACGAAGAACUCCGAUUGCGAAGGCAGCUCACUGGACUGCAACUGACACUGAGGCUCGAAAGUGUGGGUAUCAAACAGGAUUAGAUACCCUUGUAGUC